AAAACAUACUUCGCACGCCUUCACUCAGCCCAAACAUAAAACACACUUCGCACGCCGUCGCUCAGCAGAAUCAAACACUUCCCACCUCUGCACGCUGUCGUUCCCGCUCCUGCCUCCGCCGUAUCUCAGACUUCUCUUCGCCGUCACUCCCAACUCCGCCGCUGUCUAAGCCUCUCUUUGCCGUCAUCGCUCCCACCUCCUCCGACGUCUCAGCCUGCACCAAAGUUUCUACCGUUGUCGCCUCUUCCCGACUCUACCGCGGUCUCCAUCACUAUCCUACAGUGUACUGUGGAUGAGGAGAUAAGAAUAUCGCCAAUUUCAAUCACUCAUUUCAAAAUGUAAUUCAGAAAAUAUCCAGACAAGAAGAAGGGGAGAAGUUACAUGUUUCGGCAUAGCCAUGUUCGCCACCAUGGCUUCUCUCUAUGUCGUCGGUCGUUUAUGGAUAGAUGCGAAAAACAGAGUUUACUUGACAAAAGAUCUUGAUAGGAUAACUGGUCAGGAAUAAUAAAUGUAUCACUUAUAGUGCUUAAGUUGACUAUAUUUUCUUCUUCAUUAUUGGGACAAUCUGCAAUCUCUGUAGAUGACACUUGGAAGAUCAUAGAGUGCAGAAACUUUCAUCCUUGGAAAUGGAACUAACAGCUACUCGAUGAGAGGGUUUUCUUCCUAAGGAGCUAGCAGAUGUGAAUGGGAAUCCUAAGCAAAGGCCUUUAGUUGUGAUUGGGAUUCUUACUAGUUUUCGGCGCAAAAAUGAUAGAGAUGCUAGAUGAAAGGCAUGGAUGUCCAGAGGUGCGGCCUUGAAAAAGAUGGAGGAUGAGAAGGGAAUUAUUGCAUGAUUUUUCAUUGGGAGAAGUUCUAACCGUGGGAACAGCUUGGACAGAAGUAUCGACAAUGAAAACAGGGAAACCAAUGUUUUUUCAUUCUUGAAGACCAUGUUGAGGCACAUGAAGAAAUCUCAAAAAAGACGAAACUAUUUCUUGUCCAUGCUGGUGAUAGUUGGAUUGCUGAUUUUUAUGCCAAAGUCAACGAUGAUGUUUAUGUGAAUAUUGAUGCUUUAGGGAGCACACUUGCAACAUAUAUGGACAACCUUCGUGUAUAUGCUGGGUGUAUGAAAUCAGGCGCAGUUUUUUCUGAGCAAGAAUGCCAUGGCUGAGCUACGGAAAUUGCUAAUAUACGAAGCUUCAAGAGAUUGGUUGCCAACCAAAACAGCCCAAGAUUCAAACACCGGUGGCUAUUGCCUCUGUUGAGUUUAUUGAUCCAAGUGAACCUGUUGUGAUUGUUUCCAUCUUGAGAGCUGGCCUAGCUCUUGCUAAGCAUGCAUCAUCAAUCCUGCCUGCAACAAAAAUUUAUCAUCUGGGUUCUUUCAAGGAAGGCAAAGAAUAUGUAUACUUAGAAAGGGUUUGAAGCAAUUCCUAGAGCUUUUCAAGAACGGAAGGACGAAGGUCUAAAUGAGAGCAUUAGUGCAUAUAGUGGAGAUGUCUCUGUCCAAGUUUCAGAUGAUGAAGAAGAUGACAGAUACUUAAACCCUAAUGUUUCAUGUCAGAAUGAGAAAUCAGCCAUUUCUGUUCCGAAGCUGGCAGACUCCUCUAAGCCUGGUAAUGUCAAAAUAAGAAAUCUGAUUCCUUUUUUAUCAUUUGAUGCAAAUUUUUGGAUGUUUCUACUGAAAUUAUGCUAUUUUAGAUUAUUACUAGUGAUUUACAUAAUUGAUGUAUGAUUUUAUACUUUGACUACCAAUGUUUUUUAUGCUUGAGAUUUAGAGCUACAAUUUGAUGAUACAAUGAUAUCAAAUAUGAUGUUUUGUGCACAA